rnacentral:rRNA from 1 species
GAGGGGGUGCAUUCCUCAGAUAGGAGCCAGUUCAUGCUUUUAUAGUAUGAAAAUUCGGUGAUUUAUAAUAACUUAGCAAAUCGCAAAGUGAAAACAGGCGAUAAAUCAUUCAAGUUUCUGACCUAUCAGCUUUCGACGGUAUGGUAUUGGCUUACCGUGGCAGUGACGGUUAACGGGGGAUUAGGGUUCGAUUCCGGAGAGGGAGCCUGAGAAACGGCUACCACAUCUAAGGAAGGCAGCAGGCGCGCAAAUUACCCAAUUCUAACAGUUUGAGAGAGGUAGUAACAAGAAAUAACAAUACAAGGCAGUUAAAAUGCUUUGUAAUUGGAAUGAUAGAAAUUUAAACCCUUUUUAAAGUAUCAAUUGGAGGGCAAGUCUGGUGCCAGCAGCCGCGGUAAUUCCAGCUCCAAUAGCGUAUAUUAAAAUUGUUGCAGUUAAAAAGCUCGUAGUUGAAGUUCUGCUGAAAGUAACCGGUCUGCUUUUAAUAAAAGUGGUAUCUUGGUAUGUAUUUAGCAAUGAUGUCCUUUGAAGUGUUUUUUACUUUAUUGUAAUAAAGCAUAUUCAGGACUUUUACUUUGAGAAAAUUAGAGUGUUUCUAGCAGGCUAACGCUUUGAAUACUGCAGCAGAAAAAAAAAGGGGGAAGGGGAAAAAGGGAAAAAAGGGGGA